rnacentral:tRNA from 1 species
GGUCGUUAGCUCAGUUGGGAGAGCAUCGCCCUUACAAGGCGAGGGUCACUGGUUCAAGUCCAGUACGGCC